GCUGGUCCUGAGUGCACCCCUGGCGCCUUACAACACGUGUUUUGGUUGAGGAUCUGAGGGCAGCCAUCUUCAGACCUCACUUGAGGACUUCCUCCUGCUUUUCCCGGGAUGCAGGCCCUGCAGGGCGCAUGCACACUGAGAGAGAUUGCUUCCCUGUGAAAAGCUUACAAUUGAUUAUGGAGGAUUCAGCCGUGAAUAAAAUAGAACUGCCUGGUGGUGCUCAGCUCUGAGUGGGGAGACACGCCACAGCUUGUUCAGUAUCAUUGGUUAGCAGAAUCACCCGCAUCCCAGCCGUGCUGUGGCAGGAAGGGCGCUGGAUGGAAAGUCAGGAGACCUGGGUCUGCUACCAACUUGUUGAUAGAGAUUCUAACCAGCCACCCGGAUCCUCUUGGAUGAGGCCCAGCCAGCCAUAUUUAGCCAGUGUUUAUCGUGUCAAAAGUCCUCUGCCGGAGCCCGUGCUAUAUGUAGCCAGGGAGAGAGAAAAUUUUUUCAAAGAGGAUGUGAUCUGCCGCCAGCUGAACAUAUGUGCUGGGAGGUGCUUCCAGGGACGUGCUUGAACUGGCUUGCAAGAGCUGAUUAUUAACACCACUUGCAAAACCUGUGCCCAGAGUCUUCACGGUGGUGGCAAUUGGCCCUGGUGGGAGUGUGCAUGCCACAGAAAUUAACAAGUGCUACAAAUCAGGGCCUUCCCCCGCUGCCAAAUCCCCCAUCCCCAGAACUUGUAGUUAAACAACUUCCAGCAUACUCUGGGGACAUCUGUUUAUCAAGCAGAUGCAUGAUAAACUUAUAAGGGCUCCUCCCGGCUGUUUGGUCUUUGGACAGCCAAUGCUAAUAAAACAGGAAACAGCCCCCACUUUCGGGGAGCUCCCAGCCUGAUGCAAACCCUGCAUGUUUGCUGUAGUACUUUAUGGUUCUUAACUCUGUCAUGCACAUUAUCUCCUCGAUCCUAACAACCACCUCACUUCAGUGGUGGGCAC
rnacentral:lncRNA from 1 species